rnacentral:rRNA from 1 species
UUAGGAAUAUUGGACAAUGGGGGAAACCCUGAUCCAGCCAUGCCGCGUGUGUGAUGAAGGCCUUAGGGUUGUAAAACACUUUCGGCUGUGAAGAUAAUGACAGUAGCAGAAGAAGAAGCUCCGGCUAAAUUCGUGCCAGCAGCCGCGGUAAUACGAAUGGAGCGAGCGUUGUUCGGAAUCACUGGGCGUAAAGCGUGCGCAGGCGGUUGUGAAAGUCAGGAGUGAAAUCCCAGGGCUCAACCCUGGAAUUGCUCUUGAAACUCCACAACUAGAGUACUGGAGGGGUUAGCGGAAUUCCGAGUGUAGCAGUGAAAUGCGUAGAUAUUCGGAGGAACACCAAUGGCGUAGGCAGCUAACUGGACAGUAACUGACGCUCAUGCACGAAAGCGUGGGGAUCAAA